rnacentral:rRNA from 1 species
ACAGGGAUUGCCCUAGUAACGGCGAGUGAAGCGGCAACAGCUCAAAUUUGAAAUCUGGCGUCUUUGGCGUCCGAGGUGUAAUUUGCAGAGGGCGCUUUGGCAUUGGCAGCGGUCCAAGUUCCUUGGAACAGGACGUCACAGAGGGUGAGAAUCCCGUACGUGGUCGCUAGCCUUUACCGUGUAAAGCCCCUUCGACGAGUCGAGUUGUUUGGGAAUGCAGCUCUAAAUGGGAGGUAAAUUUCUUCUAAAGCUAAAUACUGGCCAGAGACCGAUAGCGCACAAGUAGAGUGAUCGAAAGAUGAAAAGCACUUUGGAAAGAGAGUUAAAAAGCACGUGAAAUUGUUGAAAGGGAAGCGCUUGCAGCCAGACUUGCCUGUAGUUGCUCAUCCGGGUUUUUACCCGGUGCACUCUUCUAUAGGCAGGCCAGCAUCAGUUUGGGCGGUUGGAUAAAGGUCUCUGUCAUGUACCUCUCUUCGGGGAGAACUUAUAGGGGAGACGACAUGCAACCAGCCUGGACUGAGGUCCGCGCAUCUGCUAGGAUGCUGGCGUAAUGGCUGUAAGCGGCCCGUCUUGAAACACGGACCAAGGAGUCUAACAUCUAUGCGAGUGUUUGGGUGUCAAGCCCGAGCGCGUAAUGAAAGUGAACGGAGGUGGGAACCCCUCGGGGUGCACCAUCGACCGAUCCUGAUGUCUUCGGAUGGAUUUGAGUAAGAGCAUAGCUGUUGGGACCCGAAAGAUGGUGAACUAUGCUUGAAUAGGGUGAAGCCAGAGGAAACUCUGGUGGAGGCUCGCAGCGGUUCUGACGUGCAAAUCGAUCGUCAAAUUUGGGCAUAGGGGCGAAAGACUAAUCGAAC